GUCGAUGGGAAAAUGGUUAAUAUUCCAUUACUUCUGUGUAAUGCGAUGAGAGGACGGAGAAGGCUAAAUCAGCCUGGCGUUGGUUGUCCAGGUGAAAGGAUGUAGGCAUGUAUCUUAGGCAAAUCCGGGGUACUCUAUGCUGAGAUCUGAUAGCAAGCUGUACUUGUACAGCGAAGUGGUUGAUGCCAUGCUUCCAGGAAAAGUCUCUAAGCUUCAGUUACACAGGAAUCGUACCCGAAACCGACACAGGUGGUCAGGUCGAGUAGACCAAGGCGCUUGAGAGAACUCUGCUGAAGGAACUAGGCAAAAUGGUACCGUAACUUCGGGAGAAGGUACGCUGUUGUUGGUGAUGGAACUCGCUUCCUGAGCUGACGACAGCCGCAGAAACCAGGCCGCUGCAACUGUUUAUUAAAAACAUAGCACUCUGCAAACACGAAAGUGGACGUAUAGGGUGUGAUGCCUGCCCGGUGCUGGAAGGUUAAUUGAUGGGGUUAGCGUAAGCGAAGCUCUUGAUCGAAGCCCCAGUAAACGGCGGCCGUAACUAUAACGGUCCUAAGGUAGCGAAAUUCCUUGUCGGGUAAGUUCCGACCUGCACGAAUGGCAUAAUGAUGGCGGCGCUGUCUCCAGCAGAGGCUCAGUGAAAUCGAAAUCGCUGUGAAGAUGCAGUGUACCCGCGGCUAGACGGAAAGACCCCGUGAACCUUUACUGCAGCUUGACACUGAACUUUGACCUUACUUGUGUAGGAUAGGUGGGAGGCUUUGAAGCUGGAACGCUAGUUCCAGUGGAGCCGUCCUUGAAAUACCACCCUGGUAAUGUUGAGGUUCUAACUCUGUCCCGUGAUCCGGGACGAGGACCGUGUCUGGUGGGUAGUUUGACUGGGGCGGUCUCCUCCUAAAGAGUAACGGAGGAGUACGAAGGUGCGCUCAGCGUGGUCGGAAAUCACGCGUAGAGUAUAAAGGCAAAAGCGCGCUUAACUGCGAGACCCACAAGUCGAGCAGGUACGAAAGUAGGUCUUAGUGAUCCGGUGGUUCUGUAUGGAAGGGCCAUCGCUCAACGGAUAAAAGGUACUCUGGGGAUAACAGGCUGAUACCGCCCAAGAGUUCAUAUCGACGGCGGUGUUUGGCACCUCGAUGUCGGCUCAUCUCAUCCUGGGGCUGAAGCAGGUCCCAAGGGUAUGGCUGUUCGCCAUUUAAAGAGGUACGCGAGCUGGGUUUAGAACGUCGUGAGACAGUUCGGUCCCUAUCUACCGUGGGCGCUGGAAAUUUGAGAGGAUCUGCUCCUAGUACGAGAGGACCAGAGUGGACGAACCUCUGGUGUACCGGUUGUGACGCCAGUCGCAUCGCCGGGUAGCUAUGUUCGGAAGGGAUAACCGCUGAAAGCAUCUAAGCGGGAAGCCUACCUCAAGAUAAGAUUUCCCUAGGACUUUAUGUCCUCUAAAGAGCCGUUCGAGACUAGGACGUUGAUAGGUUGGAUGUGGAAGCAUAGUGAUAUGUGAAGCUGACCAAUACUAAUUGCUCGUGAGGCUUGACUA
rnacentral:rRNA from 1 species